rnacentral:lncRNA from 1 species
CGGGCCUCUCCUCCCUCUUCCUCGCCCUGCGGUCCCUCCAUGGCCAUGUGCCUGUCACUUCGUGGGGACUGACACCUCCAUGCUGAGCAGCACACAAGCACAGCAGCUGGGGAGGAGGGCCAGGGCGGCGGAAUGAUGGAUGAGGCUAUAGUGCCUCCCUUCCCCGCUGCGGCUGUGGUGAGGAGAUCUCCCCUCGAAGAAGCCUGAUAUUUUCCAGGAAUUUCCUGAGGGGAGGGGACCAAGCAUUCCAGAAUGAGAGCCAGCUGUGGAGUUGAGGCCUGGGGGUGAGGAGCCGGGCUCUGGGCUUCCUGGCUGAGUCAGCGACCAUCCCCAGCUUUGCUCCCUUGCCUGCAAAGCAGCCAGCCUGAGGGAGGAGCCAGAAGAUGGAUGGAAGGCUGCAGAAGGGGAGAAGCCUCCGGCCGGCCCUGGGGGCUCAGGAAGACAGAGGAGGCCAGGCUGGAUAUUUUAUCUCUUCAGGAUUCCAGAGCACAAGACAAAUGGCCUCAUGUCCGGCAGGGAGGUGUAAUUCAUCCUCUGAGGUCCACUUUCCAUUUUGAAAGACCCAACUUUCCUCACACAGUAAUCUUGAGAAUGACUCCCCAUCUCAGGUGGGAGCCACCAUGACAUGGAGGGAGAGAAAACUCGUCCUCGGUCCAGGCUCCUGAUAAAAAUACCCCAACGCUCCACCAAGCCACAGCACUCAUUUCAGAGGACUUAACGCCUUACACACAUAAAAGGGUUCAGGGCCUAAGAAGCUUCCAGACUUGAAAAGGAAAUGAAUUUACUCAGUAUGCCCAAGCUUUUCUUAACAUCAUUCCACCCAUGUUCUGCCCUAAAUAAAGGCAUGAUAGGGAAUCA